rnacentral:rRNA from 1 species
UGGGGAAUUGUUCGCAAUGGGCGCAAGCCUGACGACGCAAUGCCGCGUGGAGGACGAAGAUUUUCGGAUCGUAAACUCCUGUCGAGCGGGAAGAACGGCCCGGGACCUAAUACGUUUCGGGAGUGACGGUACCGCUAAAGGAAGCCCCGGCUAACUCCGUGCCAGCAGCCGCGGUAAUACGGGGGGGGCAAGCGUUGUUCGGAAUUACUGGGCGUAAAGGGCGCGUAGGCGGCCCUCUAAGUCAGACGUGAAAUCCCUCGGCUCAACCGGGGAACUGCGUCUGAUACUGGAGGGCUUGAAUUCGGGAGAGGGAUGCGGAAUUCCAGGUGUAGCGGUGAAAUGCGUAGAUAUCUGGAGGAACACCGGUGGCGAAGGCGGCAUCCUGGACCGAUAUUGACGCUGAGGCGCGAAAGCCAGGGGAGCAAACGGG